CUGAAAUGCACUCAGUAUUCAAUACUCCUGUGGUUUUACAUCACAGGCUCUGCGCAACCCGUGGAAGAUGCCCUGCUGGCACUGCUGUCCUCUGAUACCAGUUGUAUAAAAGCAAAGUGGUAGCCCAGAAAACAAGGGACGUGGGGUGAGAAGCAAGAAAGGAAUUCUUGGAAUCACUUAAAUUAGAGGCUUUCAGAGACACCAUUCACACUCAGUCUCCUCUCUUUUCUCUCUCAGCAAUAUAGUGAGGUCAUCAAAGGAGAAAGUUGUGAAGACUGCACUGGGGAUGAUGGUGUAUAGAGACAGAAG
ensembl:lncRNA